CCCCCUCUCUCUGUCUACCUCUCUGCUCCUCUCAGUCAUCAGUUCAAACCCUAGAAAAUUGGGGAUUUUUCCAAUAUCAAAGGAUUGACCAAUCUUUCAGUCACAGGCAUAUGUUGAAAAUUUUGGAGCGGAGCAAGGGAUGUGGAGGUGGAUCUUAUUUGGGAUAGGCUUCGUUUUUGGGAUUCCCUUUGGCCGUUGGUAUCUUCAGAAGUUAAGGAUUGUUCCUUUCAAGGUAUAUUGUAUUAUUAGAAUUCUGCUGUCAACUACAAGUUUUGUUCGUCUAGUGCCAUGUAUCUUUGUUAAGUUGUUUACCUAGUAUAGCUAGACCAGUGGACAACUUGUCCCUUGUAUUGUUAUGUUCUCUUCUUAAUGAAAUUAUGUUUCUUAUUA